AUUCUGCCCAUGCGGGGAAGGAUGAGAAGCUUCGACUAAGGUUCGACUCGAGCGCCAGCGAGAGAGCAUUGCCGCAGGCAACGACCCGUAGGGCGAAGCGCGCAGCGCUGAGUAAUCCUUCCCCCACCACCA
rnacentral:sRNA from 1 species